rnacentral:rRNA from 1 species
UCUACAUGCAAGUCGAGGGGCAGCAUAAAUUACUUGUAAUUUGAUGGCGACCGGCGAACGGGUGCGUAACGCGUAUGCAACUUACCUUUUACUAGAGAAUAGCCAAGAGAAAUUUUGAUUAAUGCUCUAUACACUUACUAACUUUCAUGAGUUUGUAAGAAAAGCUCCGGCGGUAAAAGAUGGGCAUGCGUCCUAUUAGCUUGUAGGUGAGGUAACGGCUCACCUAAGCUCCGAUAGGUAGGGGUCCUGAGAGGGAGACCCCUCACACUGGUACUGAGACACGGACCAGACUUCUACGGAAGGCAGCAGUAAGGAAUAUUGGACAAUGGAGGAAACUCUGAUCCAGCCAUGCCGCGUGAAGGAUGACGGCCUUAUGGGUUGUAAACUUCUUUUAUACAGGAAUAAACCUAUCCACGUGUGGAUAGCUGAAGGUACUGUAAGAGUAAGGAUCGGCUAACUCCGUGCCAGCAGCCGCGGUAAUACGGAGGAUCCAAGCGUUAUCCGGAAUUAUUGGGUUUAAAGGGUCCGCAGGCUGUUUGUUAAGUCAGAGGUGAAAUCCUACCGCUCAACGGUAGAACUGCCUUUGAUACUGGCAAACUUGAGUUAUUGUGAAGUAGUUAGAAUGUGUAGUGUAGCGGUGAAAUGCAUAGAUAUUACACAGAAUACCGAUUGCGAAAGCAGAUUACUAACAAUUAACUGACGCUGAGGGACGAAAGCGUGGGUAGCGAACAGGAUUAGAUACCCUGGUAGUCCACGCCGUAAACGAUGGUCACUAGCUGUUCGAUGUACAUUGGUACAUUGAGUGGCUAAGCGAAAGUGAUAAGUGACCCACCUGGGGAGUACGCUCGCAAGA